ensembl:lncRNA
UCUCAUUGGUUUGGCUUGUGGUUCUUUCCUUCAAAAUUGAGUUUUUCACGUUGGCUUGGCUUGUGGAAUCUUCCAGAUCCUUAAAAAUUCCAAAGUUUCCUUCCAAAUCUCAUUUCUCACAUUGUCUUUGCUUGUGGCAUCUUCCACAUCCUUAAAAAUUCCAAAAUUUCCUCCCAAGUCUCAUUUCUCACAUUGGCUCUGUUUGUGGCACCUUCCAGAACCUCACAAAUUCCAAAGUUUCCUCCCAAGUCUCAUUUCUCACAUUGGCUUUGCUUGUGGCAUCUUCCACAUCCUUAAAAAUUCCAAAAUUUCAUCCCAAGUCUCAUUUCUCACAUUGGCUUUGCUCUUCCAGAUCCUUAAAAAUUCCAAAGUUUCCUUCCAAGUCUCAUUUCUCACAAUGGCUCUGCUUGCAGAACCUUCCAGAUCCUUAAAAAUUCCAAAAUUUCAUUCCAAGUCUCAUUUCUCACAUUGUCUUUGUUUGUGGCAUCUUCCAGAUCCUCACAAAUUCAGAAAUUUCCUUCAAAAUCGCAUUUCUCACAUUGGCUCUGCUUGCAGAACCUUCACAUCCUCAAAAAUUCCGAUAUUUCCUUCAAAAAAUCGCAUUUUUCACAUUGGCUCUGCUUGUGGUUCCUCCAAAUUUCAAAAUUUUCUGUGUCCAACAUCCUCAGGGUCCUGA